rnacentral:rRNA from 1 species
UUUUUUGAGAAUUUGAUCCUAGUUCAGGGUGAACGCUAGCGGCGUGCCUAAGGUAUGCAAGUUGAACGAUUUUCCGCCAAAGCGCAAGCGGAGGCGGAUUAUAGUGGCGAACGGCUGAGUAAUACGUAGGAAUCUACCUUCAAGUAAGGGACAGCCCCGCGAAAGCGGGAUUAAUACCUUAUGUGACCGCAAGGUCAAAGAUUUAUCGCUUGAAGAUGAGCCUGCGGCCUAUCAGGUAGUUGGCGGGGUAAAUGCCCACCAAGCCUAUGACGGGUAGCCGGUCUGAGAGGACGGACGGCCAGAGGGGCACUGAGACACGGGCCUCACUCCUACGGGAGGCAGCAAUCGGGAAUCUUGCACAAUGGGCGAAAGCCUGAUGCAGCGACGCCGCGUGAAGGAUGAAGGCCUUCGGGUUGUAAACUUCUGUAAAUAGCACCGGCUAACUACGUGCCAGCAGCAGCGGUCAUACGUAGGGUGCAAGCGUUACCCGGAUUUAUUGGGCGUAAAGAGUUCUGUAGGCGGUAUUGUAAGUCAGGGGUUAAAUCCUCCAGCUCAACUGGAGAACCGCUUCUGAUACUGCAUUACUAGAGACAGUUAGGGGGCAGCGGAACUUGUGGUGGAGCAGUGAAAUGCGUUGAUAUCACAAGGAACAUCAAGGGGGAAGCCAGCUGCCUGGGACUGUUCUGACGCUGAGAGACGAAAGCGUGGGUAGCGAAACGGAUUAGAUACCCGUGUAGUCCACGCCGUAAACAAUGCCUGCUAGAUACCUGCAUUUGUGGGCGUCGAAGCUAACGCGUUAAGCAGGCCGCCUGGGGAGUACGGUCGCAAGGCUAAAACUCAAAGGAAUUGGCGGGGACCCGCACAAGCGGUGGAACAUGCUCUUUAAUUGGCUGCUAACCCAAGAACCUUACCCAGGUUUGACAUGCAGAUGCAUACUUGCUGAAAGGCAGGUAGCCUUUGAGGGUUCUGCACAGGUGUUGCAUGGCUGUCGUCAGCUCGUACCGUGAGGCGUACCCUUAAGUGGGUUAACGAGCGCAACCCCUACCGUUAGUUGUAUCACUCUAGCGGAACUGCCUUCGCAAGGCGGAGGAAGGCGGGGAAGAAGUCAAGUCAGUAUUGCCUUUAUGCCUGGGGCCAGAAGCAUGUUACAAUGGCGCGUACAGCGAGGAGCAAAGCUGCGAAGCCGAGCAAAUCUCUUAAAGCGCGUCUCAGUUCGGAUUGAAGUCUGCAAUUCGACUUCAUGAAGUUGGAAUCGCUAGUAAUCGGCGGUCAGCUACACGCCGGUGAAUACGUUCUCGGGUCUUGCACACACUGCCCGUCACGUCAGCAAAGCUGGAGCCACCUUAAGUCUCAUGAAAAUGGGCCCAAGUUGGAGCCAGUGAUGAGGAUGAAGUCGUAACAAGGUAGCCGUAGGGGAAUCUGCGGCUGGAUCACCUCCUUUCUA